rnacentral:rRNA from 1 species
GAUGAACGCUAGCGGCAGGCUUAACACAUGCAAGUCGAGGGGCAGCAUGGUCUUAGCUUGCUAAGGCCGAUGGCGACCGGCGCACGGGUGAGUAACACGUAUCCAACCUGCCGUCUACUCUUGGACAGCCUUCUGAAAGGAAGAUUAAUACAAGAUGGCAUCAUGAGUCCGCAUGUUCACAUGAUUAAAGGUGUUCCGGUAGACGAUGGGGAUGCGUUCCAUUAGAUAGUAGGCGGGGUAACGGCCCACCUAGUCUUCGAUGGAUAGGGGUUCUGAGAGGAAGGUCCCCCACAUUGGAACUGAGACACGGUCCAA